AGGACGAACGCUGGCGGCGUGCUUAACACAUGCAAGUCGAACGAUGACGAUGGUGCUUGCACCGUCUGAUUAGUGGCGAACGGGUGAGUAACACGUGAGUAACCUGCCCUCCUCUUCGGGAUAACCGCCGGAAACGGUGGCUAAUACCGGAUAUGAAUGUCUGCCGCAUGGUGGGUGUUGGAAAGAUUUAUCGGUGGGGGAUGGACUCGCGGCCUAUCAGUUUGUUGGUGAGGUAAUGGCUCACCAAGGCGAUGACGGGUAGCCGGCCUGAGAGGGCGACCGGCCACACUGGGACUGAGACACGGCCCAGACUCCUACGGGAGGCAGCAGUGGGGAAUAUUGCACAAUGGGCGAAAGCCUGAUGCAGCGACGCCGCGUGGGGGAUGACGGCCUUCGGGUUGUAAACCUCUUUCAGCAGGGAAGAAGCGAGAGUGACGGUACCUGCAGAAGAAGCGCCGGCUAACUACGUGCCAGCCGCCGC
rnacentral:rRNA from 1 species